GGAUGGGCUGGACGUGACAGAAGCCGGGAUGUCCAACUAUUAAAUCAAAAACUGCUCUGUAACAUAUCAGUAACUUUUUUGUUUUGCUGUGAAGUAAAAAGGCUGGGUGAGCAUCCUCUGAGUAUGAUUCGGCUACCCAGCUGCAGUGAUGGACAGGGCUCAAGUCUCAAACUCACCCCGCUGUUGGACUCCUUCGUGACUCAGACUCGACUUCUUAAAGAUAUUGUCUUGACUCAGAGUUGACUAAGGUGGAUAUGAACGCAAUGCUGUCUUAAAAUAGCUUUCAAAGGUGAUUUGGUCAGUGUCAUUCAGGUGGAGAUAAUAGGGGAAAAAUGUUACCCGUGUCCAUAUAUCAACUUCUUAUAGUCUGAAUGAAGAGCAGAAAGACAUUUUCACAGCACAAAUCCCUAACCACGGAGGUCAUUUCCCCCCUUUUUUGCCACAAUAACAAAAUGGCUCAGAAUGAAAGGACUAUUCUUUUUCCCAGAAUUUUCCAGAGCCCGCAGAGAAUAGCUUUGGACUGGUGUACUUCAUCUUCAAACGAUCUUUUAUAUUUGGCCAGAUGAAUGGAAGCACCAUUUGGACACACCCUUCUGAAUUAAAGCCUCAAACCUGUUGUGGUCUCUACAUGAAAACCACGUCGGAAAUAAGCCUUAACUUUUCCUCUGAUUUUUUAACAUAAAUAGUCGUGACUAGUGUAUCUAUUUUCUUAUCUGUUAUUGACUGAAGAAUUAAUAUAUUAUGGUUUUAAGCUCAA